UCUCCACCGAGACCUCGGUGUAUCCGGUCGCGACGUCGUUGCCGUCGUAGGUCGGGGUCUGGGUGACCUCGCGCCAGGUCCGGUUCUGGGUGGCGAU
rnacentral:tRNA from 1 species